AUGCCCUGCCAUGGGAAGAAGCAUGUCCCUUCAAAUCUUGAUGAUAAUAUGGAGUUGUGGAAGAAACUGAAAGACCGUAAUGACACCAAAAUAACUUUUAAAGGAUUGCUAGCCAAGAUGAAAGUCGACAGCACACCAAAUUUUGUCAGGCCAUUUGUGUUGUACACCAUAGGCAAAUAUGUAUGCCGAACAAAAGAGGAGUAUGUGGAUAACAAAUAUAUUGGGAUUGUUAGAAACAUUGAGACAAUAAAGGGCACAAAUCUUGGACAGCUAACGCUUGACUAUCUUAUGGAUAGCGUGAAGAAUUUUGUAAAUGGUGAGGCAAUUCUGGAGGGGAAUCUACCACUGCUGUAG
rnacentral:rRNA from 1 species